rnacentral:rRNA from 1 species
UGUGAAAUCCCCGGGCUCAACCUGGGAAUUGCAUUCAAAACUGCACGGCUAGAGUAUGGGAGAGGRAGGUAGAAUUCCAGGUGUAGCGGUGAAAUGCGUAGAUAUCUGGARGAAYACCGAUGGCGAAGGCAGCCUUCUGGCCUARUWCUGACGCUGAGGYGCGAAAGCRUGGGGAGCAAACAGGAUUAGAUACCCUGGUAGUCCAAGCCGUAAACGAUGUCUACUAGCCGUUGGGGGRCUUGAUCCUUUAGUGGCGCANCUAACGCAUUAAGUU